rnacentral:rRNA from 1 species
CCCGCUGAACUUAAGCAUAUCAAUAAGCGGAGGAAAAGAAACUAACAAGGAUUCCCCUAGUAACGGCGAGUGAAGCGGGAAGAGCUCAAAUUUGAAAUCUGGCGUCUUUGGCGUCCGAAUUGUAAUUUGGAGAGGCAACUUCGGAGAUGGUGCUGUCCUAAGUCCCUUGGAACAGGAUGACAUAGAGGGUGAGAUCCCCGUGCCUGGAUGGCUGUCCAUCUUCAUGUGAAUUGCCUUCGAAGAGUCGAGUUGUUUGGGAAUGCAGCUCAAAAUGGGUGGUAAAUUUCAUCUAAAGCUAAAUAUUGGCGAGAGACCGAUAGCGCACAAGUAGAGUGAUCGAAAGAUGAAAAGCACUUUGAAAAGAGAGUUAAAAAGUACGUGAAAUUGUUGAAAGGGAAGCGCUUGAGACCAGACUCGAUUCGUGGUGAUCAGCUGUGCUUCUGUACGGUGCACUCGCCAUGGAUUGGGCCAGCAUCGGUUCUGACGGUGGGAUAAAAGGUUGAGGAAUGUGUCUUCCUUCGGGGAGUGUUAUAGCCUCACUCACAAUGCCACCAGCUGGGACCGAGGACCGCGCUUCGGCUAGGAUGCUGGCGUAAUGGUCUUAAGCGACCCGUCUUGAAACACGG